rnacentral:rRNA from 1 species
UACGUAGGGGGCAAGCGUUGUCCGGAUUUACUGGGCGUAAAGAGCGCGUAGGCGGAAGCUUAAGUGUGGCCUGAAAGCCCCCGGCUCAACCGGGGAAGGUGGCUGCAAACUGGGCUUCUUGAGGGCGAUAGAGGAGGGUGGAAUUCCUGGUGUAGCGGUGAAAUGCGCAGAUAUCAGGAGGAACACCGGUGGCGAAGGCGGGUCUCUGGGCCGAUACUGACACUGAGGAGCGAAAGCGUGGGGAGCGAACAGG